CCGCGGGUCGCCGGGAGCGUGAGAGUUUGCGCUCUGAGGCGGGUGAGGGCGGUUCGGUGCUCCCGGCCACUUCCCCGGCCCCGGGAGAUGUCCUUUGCUCCUCAGAUGUAAUGCACUUUAAAUUUGUUAUUCAACAGUGAAAAUGAGUCAUACAGAGGUGAAAUUAAAAAUACCUUUUGGGAAUAAGUUACUAGAUGCUGUUUGCUUGGUACCUAACAAGAGCUUCACAUAUGGAAUAAUUCUUACCCACGGAGCUUCAGGAGAUAUGAAUCUUCCGCAUUUGAUGUCCCUGGCAUCCCAUCUUGCAUCUCAUGGUUUUUUUUGCCUGAGGUUUACCUGUAAAGGCCUUAAUAUUGUACAUAGAAUUAAGGCAUAUAAAUCAGUUUUGAGUUACCUCAAGACCUCAGAAUACAAACUUACAGGUGUUUUCCUUGGAGGUCGUUCAAUGGGCUCAAGAGCAGCUGCUUCUGUAAUGUGUCAUAUUGAGCCAGCUGAUGCUAAUGAUUUUGUUCGAGGUCUCGUUUGUAUUUCUUAUCCACUGCACCAUCCGAAACAGCAGCAUAAACUUAGAGAUGAAGAUCUCUUUCGUAUAAAAGAUCCUGUACUAUUUGUGUCAGGCUCAGCAGAUGAAAUGUGUGAAAAGAACUUGUUGGAGAAAGUCGCACAGAAAAUGCAAGCUCCUAAUAAAAUCCACUGGAUUGAGAAGGCAAAUCAUUCCAUGGCAGUGAAAGGACGGUCAACGAAUGAUGUUUUCAAAGAAAUAAAUACACAAAUUUUGUUUUGGAUUCAGGAAAUCACUGAAAGGGACAAGAAAUAAUUGUCUUUAGUUAAAAGUCAUGUUAUUUUGAAUACAAAUACAGUUAAUUUGAUAAGGAACAGCAUAACUCUCAGCAUUAUGAGGAGUUAUUUUUGAGAUCAUGCUCAUAAAGAUUUGACAUGGUUUCAGAAAAUCUUUCACUUCCAGAAGAGGGUAGUUCGAUGCCCAGAAGGUAAGAAAAAAAGUGGCUGAUUAACUUCUCUCCUAUUUUCUCAGUAUCACAAUUAUGGAACUUUCAUAGAUGUUUAGGUUGCACUGACCAGCCUGUCAGGUGGACCCAACCACUAAUUGCACCUGCAGAACCAUAUUUUCUUAAAGUAUAUAUCCAAAAUUCUUCCACAUUAAAUAAAUAAAAUAAUAAAAAUCAAAACCUGAAGAAUAAAGUCAGAAAUUUGGGAGUCCUGAAAUGAUGGUGUUUUGUGCAAAAAUAAAUCUUACUUAAAGAUACUAGUGUUGUAUUUGAUGUAACUCAGAAAGCAGUACUUCAAAGUAAAUAUAUAAUCAGGAAGUUUCUAAUCUUAAAAUUCCAUUAAAAUUAGUCACUAAAUUCUUGUGCU